rnacentral:miRNA from 1 species
UGGCGUUCUAUGGGAUGGGGGCUGUGCCUUGACACUGAGUGGCAUCCCCUCCCUCCUUCACGCAG